CCUACGGGUGGCAGCAGUAGGGAAUUUUCGGCAAUGGGGGGAACCCUGACCGAGCGACGCCGCGUGAACGAAGAAGUAAUUCGUAAUGUAAAGCUCUUUUAACAGGGAAGGAAGAGAAAUUUGACGGUAACUGAAGAAUAAGCGCCGGCUAACUACGGGCAAGCAGCCGGGGUAAUACGGAGGGAGCGAGCGUUAUCCGGAAUUGUUGGGCGAAAAGGGUGCGUAGAUGGAAUAGUAGGGCUUUUGGAAAAAGGCGGGGCUAAACCCAGUAGGGCAAAAGAUACUGGAAAGCUAGAGUAUGACAGAGGCAAGUGGAACUACAUGUGUAGCGGUAAAAUGCGUAAAUAUAUGUAAGAACACCAGUGGCGAAGGCGGCUUGCUGGGUCGUUACUGACAUUGAGGCACGAAAGCGUGGGGAGCAAACAGGAUUAGAUACCCUGGUAGUC
rnacentral:rRNA from 1 species